UUCCAACACGAUCGAUGAAAUAGACAGUGAAGUAAUACCCAGGAAUGGUGGAGCAGACUGCGACGAUGGCUUGGAAGCGGGCGAUUUUGAAAGCUGCUUUAUAGACGUUGUCCUUAUCAUUUAGUUUAAGGAACUGGCUGUAAAUCUGUGACUGGAAGAGGUUACUGCUGUAGAAGACUAUGUCAAGGAGAAACCAAUUGAGAGAACAAGAGAAGAGAUCACGGCCGUGGCGGCGAAAGAAUUUUCUGGAGAGAAGGGGAUAGGUUGGUCGAUCUUGUGGCCAUGGCUCGUCUUCUGCUAUUUGGCUCAUUGAAACGUCUAAUACCUUCUCCAUGUCCUUUGCUGCUUGUAGGACAUUAUUCUCCACGAGGGCUGUGUAUCUGGCAGUUUCAGGCAUCAUCAUACGCCAAUAAUAAGUGAGAGCCGCCGGAAUUGCACCCAGCAUCAGUAUCAACCUCCAUGAAAUAUCGGCGUCCUCAGGCGUAUGAUCCUGGUUCAAAUUUCUUGAUGCUAUCCAGAAUAUCUUGCACACCACCAUGGUCACCGCUGAGCUCGCCAAGAUCCCAAAUCCUUGCAUCGAAAACACUCCCGCAAUGAAAGACCCUCGAGUCUUCCUGUUCGCGAACUCCGACAUGAUUGUCGCCGAUAACGGAUAGUCCCCUCCGAUCCCCAGACCCAGUAAGAAUCUGAAAAAUCCCAAACUCAACAGAACGCAGUUACGGGUCCUGCAUAUCGAAAACCCACAUCCCGUAGAACUCAACACCAUCAGCAUCAAUGCGAC
rnacentral:misc_RNA from 1 species